UCAAACUUGGUCAUUUAGAGGAAGUACAAGUCGUAACAAGGUUUCCGUAGGUGAACCUGCGGAAGGAUCAUUACAGUAUUCUUUUGCCAGCGCUUAAUUGCGCGGCGAAAAACCUUACACACUAUGUUUUUUUGAUUUGAAACUUUUGCUUUGGUCUGACUUAGAAAUGAGUUGGGCCAAAGGUUUUAUACUAAAACUUCAAUUUUAUUAUUGAAUUGUUAAUUAAUUAUAUUGUCAAUUUGUUGAUUAAAUUCAAAAAUCUUCAAAACUUUCAACAACGGAUCUCUUGGUUCUCGCAUCGAUGAAGAACGCAGC
rnacentral:misc_RNA from 1 species